rnacentral:misc_RNA from 1 species
GCAAACUUGGUCAUUUAGAGGAAGUAAAAGUCGUAACAAGGUUUCCGUAGGUGAACCUGCGGAAGGAUCAUUAACUCCGAGUGUGUGCCUCGCGCUGCUGCCCUUCCGUGGUAAGUCUCGGGGACUCCCCCUGGCCGGCCCCUAGACGGGUCCUGACCCCAAGCCAGCCCCGAGCCCCAUGGAGCCCCAUGGAGCCUAGCUCUGGGGGGGCGCGCCAACCCUCGCGCAAUGUGUAGCCGUUGAGUGUCGCCUCGAGCCUCUUGAAACUCGCCUCAGCGUGGGAUCUGAACUGGAUGGAUGUCGGGAGACUGGAAAACUUUUAGCAACGGAUCUCUUGGUUCUGGCAUCGAUGAAGAACGCAGC